CGGGACGGGUGAGUAAUGUCUGGGAAACUGCCUGAUGGAGGGGGAUAACUACUGGAAACGGUAGCUAAUACCGCAUAACGUCGCAAGACCAAAGAGGGGGACCUUCGGGCCCCUUGCCAUCGGAUGUGCCCAGAUGGGAUUAGCUAGUAGGUGGGGUAACGGCUCACCUAGGCGACGAUCCCUAGCUGGUCUGAGAGGAUGACCAGCCACACUGGAACUGAGACACGGUCCAG
rnacentral:rRNA from 1 species